rnacentral:rRNA from 1 species
GACGUAGGUGACGAACGUUAUCCGGAAUUAUUGGGCGUAAAGGGUGCGUAGAUGGCCUGAUAAGUUAGCAGUGGGAAAUCGAGGCUCAACCUCGUGGAAGCUGGUAAUACUGUCAGGCUCGAGUGCAGGAGAGGUUAACGGAACUCCAUGUGGAGCGGUAAAAUGUGUAGAUAUAUGGAAGAACACCAAUAACGGCGAAGCAGUUAACUAUUCUGUUACUGACAUUGAGGCACGGAAAGCGUGGGGAGCAAAACGG